rnacentral:rRNA from 1 species
UACGAAGGGGGCGAGCGUUGUUCGGAUUUACUGGGCGUAAAGGGCGCGUAGGCGGCGCCGCAAGUCGCGUGUGAAAGCCCCGGGCUCAACCCGGGAAGUGCACCCGAAACUGCGUAGCUUGAGUACCGGAGAGGUUGGUGGAAUUCUCGGUGUAGAGGUGAAAUUCGUAGAUAUCGGGAGGAACACCAGUGGCGAAGGCGACUACCUGGCCUGUUCUUGACGCUGAGGCGCGAAAGCUAGGGGAGCAAACGGG